CAGUAGCCACGGUAAUACGGAGGGUGCAAGCGUUAUCCGGAUUCACUGGGUUUAAAGGGUGCGUAGGCGGAUCUGUAAGUCAGUGGUGGAAUCUCCAGGCUUAACCUGGAAACUGCCGUUGAUACUAUAGGUCUUGAAUUUUGUGGAGGUUAGCGGAAUAUGUCAUGUAGCGGUGAAAUGCAUAGAUAUGACAUAGAACACCAAUUGCGAAGGCAGCUGGCUACACAACUAUUGACGCUGAGGCACGAAAGCGUGGGGAUCAAACAGGAUUAGAUACCCGCGUGUCCCUGUCUCUUAUACA
rnacentral:rRNA from 1 species